rnacentral:lncRNA from 1 species
CCAGAACUGAGGGAUUCUUCAAAACUUCAUGAUUCUCUCUAUAAUGAGGAUUGUACUUUCCAACAGCUUGGAACUUACAUUGAUUCUAUCAGAGAUCCUGUCCAUAACAGAGUCACCCUAGAACUGAGUAAUGGCUCCAUGGUUAGGAUCACUGUUCCUGAAAUUGCCACCUCUGAGUUAGGUACGAUUGAGAAGUUUCAUUUAUAAGACAUGAAGUAAUUGUGAUUUAC